rnacentral:rRNA from 1 species
CACAUGCAGUCGACGGUCUUUUCUAUGGAGCUUGCUUCCACUGAGAAGAUAGUGGCGAACGGGUGAGUAACACGUGGGUAACCUGCCCAUAAGAGGGGGAUAACAUCCGGAAACGGGUGCUAAUACCGCAUAGUUUUCUUGAUCGCAUGAUUGAGAAAGGAAAGACGGCCUUUGUGCUGUCGCUUAUGGAUGGACCCGCGGCGUAUUAGUUAGUUGGUGAGGUAACGGCUCACCAAGACGAUGAUACGUAGCCGACCUGAGAGGGUGAUCGGCCACAUUGGGACUGAGACACGGCCCAAACUCCUACGGGAGGCAGCAGUAGGGAAUCUUCCGCAAUGGACGAAAGUCUGACGGAGCAACGCCGCGUGAGUGAAGAAGGUUUUCGGAUCGUAAAACUCUGUUGUCAGAGAAGAACAAGUCGGAGAGUAACUGCUCCGGCCUUGACGGUAUCUGACCAGAAAGCCACGGCUAACUACGUGCCAGCAGCCGCGGUAAUACGUAGGUGGCAAGCGUUGUCCGGAUUUAUUGG